UACGAAGGAGGCUAGCGUUGUUCGGAAUUACUGGGCGUAAAGCGCACGUAGGCGGGUCUGUAAGUAGGGGGUGAAAUCCCAGGGCUCAACCCUGGAACUGCCUUCUAGACUGCAGGCCUCGAGGUCAGGAGAGGCGAGUGGAAUACCGAGUGUAGAGGUGAAAUUCGUAGAUAUUCGGUGGAACACCAGUGGCGAAGGCGACUCGCUGGACUGAUACUGACGCUGAGGUGCGAAAGCGUGGGGAGCAAACAGG
rnacentral:rRNA from 1 species